rnacentral:rRNA from 1 species
UGGGGAAUUUUGGACAAUGGGCGCAAGCCUGAUCCAGCCAUGCCGCGUGCGGGAAGAAGGCCUUCGGGUUGUAAACCGCUUUUGUCAGGGAAGAAAUCUUCUGAGUUAAUACCUCGGGAGGAUGACGGUACCUGAAGAAUAAGCACCGGCUAACUACGUGCCAGCAGCCGCGGUAAUACGUAGGGUGCAAGCGUUAAUCGGAAUUACUGGGCGUAAAGCGUGCGCAGGCGGUUUUGUAAGACAGAGGUGAAAUCCCCGGGCUCAACCUGGGAACUGCCUUUGUGACUGCAAGGCUUGAGUGCGGCAGAGGGGGAUGGAAUUCCGCGUGUAGCAGUGAAAUGCGUAGAUAUGCGGAGGAAACACCGAUGGCGAAGGCAAUCCCCCUGGGCCUGCACUGACGCUCAUGCACGAAAGCGUGGGGAGCAAACAGGAUUAGAUACCCUGGUAGUCCACGCCCUAAACGAUGUCAACUGGUUGUUGGGAAGGUUCCUUCUCAGUAACGUAGCUAACGCGUGAAGUUGACCGCCUGGGGAGUACGGCCGCAAGGUUGAAACUUAAAGGAAUUGACGGGGGC